AUGGCUCAGAUUGAACGCUGGCGGCAGGCCUAACACAUGCAAGUCGAGCGGAUGACGGGAGCUUGCUCCUUGAUUCAGCGGCGGACGGGUGAGUAAUGCCUAGGAAUCUGCCUGGUAGUGGGGGACAACGUUUCGAAAGGAACGCUAAUACCGCAUACGUCCUACGGGAGAAAGCAGGGGACCUUCGGGCCUUGCGCUAUCAGAUGAGCCUAGGUCGGAUUAGCUAGUUGGUGGGGUAAUGGCUCACCAAGGCGACGAUCCGUAACUGGUCUGAGAGGAUGAUCAGUCACACUGGAACUGAGACACGGUCCAGACUCCUACGGGAGGCAGCAGUGGGGAAUAUUGGACAAUGGGCGAAAGCCUGAUCCAGCCAUGCCGCGUGUGUGAAGAAGGUCUUCGGAUUGUAAAGCACUUUAAGUUGGGAGGAAGGGCAGUAAGYUAAUACCUUGCUGUUUUGACGUUACCGACAGAAUAAGCACCGGCUAACUCUGUGCCAGCAGCCGCGGUAAUACAGAGGGUGCAAGCGUUAAUCGGAAUUACUGGGCGUAAAGCGCGCGUAGGUGGUUUGUUAAGUUGGAUGUGAAAGCCCCGGGCUCAACCUGGGAACUGCAUCCAAAACUGGCAAGCUAGAGUACGGUAGAGGGUGGUGGAAUUUCCUGUGUAGCGGUGAAAUGCGUAGAUAUAGGAAGGAACACCAGUGGCGAAGGCGACCACCUGGACUGAUACUGACAC
rnacentral:rRNA from 1 species